GAGCAGAAUGAGGGUCUCUACAAGAGCUAUGGCAUGGAGAAAGAGAUAUCUUUUGGUUGAGGUAUUGAGCUUUAUUUAUAGGUAUAAGCAGUAUGAGGAUUUAAUUGAAUAAGCAAUGUGAGACUAAGAAUUAGAGAUGGGAACAAGGGUAGCUAGGGUUUCUUUUAAAGUGUAUAUGUGAGGGCCAUAAAUAAUAGAGGGUCGAGAUUUAUUUUGGAGAGCAAGGAGCAUUAGAUGGCGUUGGAUUUGAAAGGAAGAAAGAAAGCUAGUUGGCAUUAAAAAAUAAAAGGAGUGUGUGGGUUUAUGAAAUAAGAUGGGGUGCAAGUUGUUUUUUAAGGAGGUGCUAGGUUUUCAAUUGAGGUGGCUUGAUGGAGGGCUCCUAAAUAAUGAGGAGUCUAGAUCAAGGGGCAUGAAGAGUGGCCAUUAUGAUCUUGUGCAUGAAAGAAAGGGAGCAAAGAUUAUUUAGCAUGAAGGAAGUUAAGGAUAUAAAAGGAAAUUUGUUAGGGCAGUGCGCUAAAAAUAAAGAGGAGAGAAAUUUGGGGCAUUAAGGCUUAAAGGCGUGAGGAAGUUAGGCAAGUAAGAAAGA
rnacentral:lncRNA from 1 species